UCUUCGUGAACAUAGCAGACUGCUCAGUAACACGUGGAUAACCUGCCCUUAGGACUGGCAUAACCCCGGGAAACUGGGGAUAAUUCCGGAUAGAUCAUAAAUGCUGGAAUGCUUUAUGAUUGAAAGGUUUCGACCGCCUUAGGAUGGAUCUGCGGCCUAUCAGGUUGUAGUGGGUGUAAUGUACCUACUAGCCUACGACGGGUACGGGUUGUGGAAGCAAGAGCCCGGAGAUGGAUUCUGAGACAUGAAUCCAGGCCCUACGGGGCGCAGCAGGCGCGAAAACUUUACAAUGCGGGAAACCGUGAUAAGGGAACACUGAGUGCUAGCAUUUAUGUUAGCUGUCCACAUGUGUAAAUAGCAUGUGAUAGCAAGGGCUGGGCAAGACCGGUGCCAGCCGCCGCGGUAACACCGGCAGCCCGAGUGGUGAUCACUAUUAUUGGGUCUAAAGGGUCCGUAGCCGGUUUAAUCAGUCUUCUGGGAAAUCUAAUCGCUUAACUAUUAGGCUUCCAGGGGAUACUGUUAGACUUGGGACCGGGAGAGGUAAGAGGUACUGCAGGGGUAGGAGUGAAAUCUUGUAAUCCCUGUGAGACCACCAGUGGCGAAGGCGUCUUACCAGAACGGGUCCGACGGUGAGGGACGAAAGCUGGGGGCACGAACCGGAUUAGAUACCCGGGUAGUCCCAGCUGUAAACGAUGCUCGUUAGGUGUCAGGAACGGUGCGACUGUUUCUGGUGCCGAAGGGAAGCCGUGAAACGAGCCACCUGGGAAG
rnacentral:rRNA from 1 species